GUUUGCUGAAGAGUCCCAAACUAGGAUGAAACAGCUGUCCAGUAC
rnacentral:hammerhead_ribozyme from 1 species